AUGGAGCAGCUUCACCUGGAUGACGAAGAGUUUGAUGAUCUGGUAAUUGAAGAGGAUGACCCCGUAAUGAAUGAACGAGUCCCCUGGUUAGCCCUAGCUAGGGUUCAUACGGAUAAAACUGUCAGCCCGACGAUGUUCUACAGAGAGAUGCGGGCGGCCUGGAAUCCGACGGAACAGGUGAGGUUCAGGCCCGUCGGACCGAACCUGUUCGUCGUUCAGGCGGAGUGCCUUGGAGACUGGGAGCGGAUGGUAGAUUUGGGUCCAUGGCUCUUCAGGAAUUGGGUAGUUCUCAUGUGCCCGUAUGACGGAUUUACUAAAGCAGAAGAAGUCCCUAUGUUAUUCAUGCCAGUUUGGUUGCAAAUCCAUAAACUGCCGGAGGGUUUCUGUAGGAGGAACAUUGUGGGAUCGCUGCUGAAGAAGUCUGGAGAGAUCGUGGAUAUGAGGUUGAAUGGAAACACCCGGGGUGACUAUGUGAGGGUUAGGGUUCGUCAUGACAUAAGCCGACCCCUCACAAAAUUCAUGAGUAUUGUCAGAGGAGAAGCAAGGCAAGUUUACCUGGUCCGUUAUGAGAAACUUGCCCACUUCUGUAGUGUCUGUGGAUUGAUUGGGCAUGACUUCAAGGAAUGCGGAACCGGGGUUCAUGACGUGAAAGACAUGAAGUUUGGGAAUUGGUUGUAUGCAGAUGGUCCGAACAGAGCAAGUGUUGGGGAACGCAGUAAUUUCAAAAAUUUCCUACGCACACGCAAGAUCAUGGUGAUGCAUAGCAACAAGAGGGGAGAGUAUGAUCUACGUACCCUUGUAGAUCACAACGGAAGCGUUGACACAACGUAG
rnacentral:rRNA from 1 species